rnacentral:rRNA from 1 species
CCCUACGGGGUGCAGCAGGGACUCCAAACCAUCCAUAUGAUCGAUCCCAUUCAGAACCUGUCCGGACGUACAGUCCAUAUCCAUCUUUUUCGAUGUGCAGUUGUCCGGCGCACGACAGGCGGUUUCGAAAGGACUGCUUGUUUCUGCGUCUCUAUCACCCAUGGUUUUCUCCUUUACAGUAGUUCGUCUGAUGAACUGGAAAAGCUGCAACAAUGGCAUUGUGGAGCAGUCGCCGGAACCGGAAGAAUGCGUCCCUGUCCCGGCCGUAAUAAACCGAAUUGGUCAGCAGCACGACGGAUAGGCCGGUCUGCGCAUCCACCCAGAGGGAGGUGCGGGUGAAACCCGUAUGACCGAACGAGCCGACGGAGAACAGAUCCCCGCAGGAAAGCGGACGCCCGUCAUAGAGGGAGAUGCCGAGGCCCCGGCUUUCCUCGAGACCGGGGGUCGCAUUUCGUGUGGCAGUGCGGAACAUGGCGGGGGGGC